UACAGAGGGGGCAAGCGUUGUUCGGAAUUACUGGGCGUAAAGGGCGCGUAGGCGGCCUGCUAAGUCGAACGUGAAAUCCCUGGGCUCAACCCAGGAACUGCGUCCGAUACUGGUUGGCUUGAAUCCGGGAGAGGGAUGUGGAAUUCCAGGUGUAGCGGUGAAAUGCGUAGAUAUCUGGAGGAACACCGGUGGCGAAGGCGGCAUCCUGGACCACGACUGACGCUGAGGAGCGAAAGCCAGGGGAGCAAACGGG
rnacentral:rRNA from 1 species